rnacentral:rRNA from 1 species
ACGAAGGUGGCAAGCGUUGUUCGGAUUUACUGGGCUUAAAGCGCACGUAGGCGGAGAGUUAAGUGUCCUGUGAAAUCCCCCGGCUUAACCGGGGAAUGGCGGGGCAAACUGGCUUUCUUGAGGCAAGCAGGGGUGUGUGGAACUCUAGGUGGAGCGGUGAAAUGCGUAGAUAUCUAGAGGAACGCCUGCGGAGAAAUCGGCACACUGGGCUUGUCCUGACGCUGAGGUGCGAAAGCGUGGGUAGCGAACGG